CUACCAUCAGAGGUAAAAGCUCACUGCUUUCCUUUGUUCCUUCUGCUCUUGUGAUCUUGAUUGACACGAGUGGCACCCUUCUGCAGAAGUAAAUUGCCUAGCUUAGAGAACUUCUGCCUGAGUGCUGGUUUCACUUUGCUGCACCAAGCAUUUAUUCCUAGAACAUUUUUAUAUUCAGCAAUUCUGGGGGCUCAUCCGGGAUCCCCAUUCUCCUUCAAGAAGGGGUCUUCAGUCACCCUACCCAGGGGAGAUGUGUCCCACUGCCCCAUUGUGGUGGCCUCAGGGAGGGGAGAUCAAGACCCACCCGUUGUUAUGAAUAAACUUGGACUCUCAGCAACACGGGGAGGAGAGGCUUGCAGUAUCGUGGCGACCAGCUAAACUCUGUGCACAGACCAAGGUGGACUCAUUCUUGUUGGCUGCUGUGUUAUACCAUGC
rnacentral:lncRNA from 1 species